AGGGAAGCAACAUCGCGAGGUGAAGCAAAUCCCAAAAAAGUGUCUCAGUUCAGAUUGUAGGCUGCAACUCGCCUACAUGAAGUCGGAAUUGCUAGUAAUCGCGGAUCAGCAUGCCGCGGUGAAUACGUUCCCGGGCCUUGUACACACCGCCCGUCACACCAUGAGAGCCGGUAACACCCGAAGUCAGUAGCCUAACCGCAAGGGGGGCGCUGCCGAAGGUGGGAUUGGUAAUUGGGGUGAAGUCGUAACAAGGUAGC
rnacentral:rRNA from 1 species